UACAGAGGUCUCAAGCGUUGUUCGGAUUCAUUGGGCGUAAAGGGUGCGUAGGCGGUGCGGCAAGUCGGGUGUGAAAUCUCGGGGCUUAACUCCGAAACUGCAUUCGAUACUGCCGUGCUUGAGGACUGGAGAGGAGACUGGAAUUUACGGUGUAGCGGUGAAAUGCGUAGAUAUCGUAAGGAAGACCAGUGGCGAAGGCGGGUCUCUGGACAGUUCCUGACGCUGAGGCACGAAGGCCAGGGGAGCAAACGGG
rnacentral:rRNA from 1 species